rnacentral:lncRNA from 1 species
CUCCGCCCCGCCCAAGGCCCCGCCCACCGCGCUGACGCCUGCCCCACUGCGGCCGCCUGCGAGGUAAGCACGCGCUUCUCGGCCUCUAAACUUCCAAACAGGCCCCUCCACACAGCCCCUCAGGGUGCUGAAGGAGUUACCGUAAUCAGACUCGUUAUCAGAAACAUUUUUUUUAAAAGCUCAUGAACGCUCCAAGGCCUCACCCACAGUUAAUCCAACUUUAAUGGCCUUAUCUUACCAGCUCCGGCCUGGCCUCCGAGUCCAGCCUCCAUCAUUUCCGGGGGAGGGCGGGACUUCCUGUCUGGGGAGGAGCCAAUUGGGAACGGGUUCUGCUGCCUGUGGACCCGAUUGGCUGAAUGCUUUUCAAAGUCCCAGAGAAAGCACAAUGUUUGAGUCCAAAUUGUUCAUAGAGAUCUGAAGGAGAAAAUUUGCCCUUGUUUUCAAAGCAUUUUUACUACAUUAUCUUGUGGAAUAGAAGAGAGAUCACUGGACAAGAAAUUAAGAACAAUGACCUAAUCCCAGUUCUGCUAUUAAGUAGACUGACCUUGAGUAAGUCUCUUAAAUUCUCUGGGUCUUUAUUUUCUCAUUUACGAAAUAGAGAAGUUUGACUAGAUCAUAGCUCAAGUGUUUUUUGUUGGAAAAAUACUUUAAAAAAAUCAUUCCUAAUGUAACCUUGUGCAACAGGCAAGGCAGAUAUUUUCUCUAUUUUGCAAACAAGAAACCUGAGGUUUAAUGAGGUUUGUCACAUAGUUUGGAAACAUUGCAGUAGGCCUAGAACAUUAGAAAUUUAUGAGGCCCCUCAUGAGAUUCAGUACUUAAAUCUGAUUUGGC